rnacentral:lncRNA from 1 species
AAGUUGGUGGACAAAGGAAUAGCUAUGUGGCUAACAACACUUCUUUACUUGUGAACAAAACUAAUGAUUUUUUCAAUAUUUCUGGUACUCCAAGCAAUGUUAACUAUGCUCCAACCACCUACACUGUUGACAACACUUCAAGCACUUAGUCUGUGGACAAUGCUCCAAGCACCUACACUGUUGACAAUACUUUGAGCACCUACACUGUGAACAAUACUUUGAAUGCUUACACUGUGGACAAUACUCCAGGUACCUACACUGCGAGCAAUGUAAACAUUUACACUGACAAUACUCCCAGUACUUACACUGCUCACAGCCCUCCAAGCACUAACAUUGCUGACAAAGCUCCCAGCAGUUCUUCCAUUGACCAUGUCCCUAGCAUUUCCAUCUCAGACACUACUCUGAGCCCUGCUACCUCUGAUGGCAUUCUGAACCCUUCUAGCACUAAUCAUACUCCCAAGACUGCCACCUCUGACAGAACUCCCAGAUCAUCUGAUAGUACUCGCAGACCAUCAAGUUUUGACAGUACGCCAAGCUCUUCCGCUUCUCACAGUGCUCCCAACACUUCCAUCUCUGAAAAUGCUCCCAACACUUCUGACAUUGGUAAUGCUCUCAGUACUCCAACACUGCCAGUACUGAGAUUGAGACUAGACAUAGAAAGAAACAGAGUGCUAUAGGAGGUGAAGAAAUCAAGCAGAAACCAAGUGGAAAACAAAACAAGUGACCAUCACCAAAUAAUGCAGAUAAAGUAGAAUGGAACUACAUAUCAAUAGUAGAAGGAAACCUGGAAAAUCUACAGAAAUAUGGAAAUUAACACAUGUUAAAAAAUCAAGAUU